rnacentral:rRNA from 1 species
AUGCAAGUCGAGCGCUCUAGCCACUUCGGUGGGGACGGGAGCGGCGGACGGGUUAGUAACGCGUGGGAACGUGCCCUUCACUACGGAAUAGCCAUUGGAAACGAUGAAUAAUACCGUAUACGCCCCUUGGGGGAAAGAUUUAUCGGUGAGGGAUCGGCCCGCGUCUGAUUAGGUAGUUGGUGGGGUAAUGGCCUACCAAGCCGACGAUCAGUAGCUGGUUUGAGAGGAUGAUCAGCAACACUGGGACUGAGACACGGCCCAGACUCCUACGGGAGGCAGCAGUGGGGAAUCUUGGACAAUGGGGGCAACCCUGAUCCAGCCAUGCCGCGUGAGUGAAGAAGGCCUUAGGGUCGUAAAGCUCUUUCGCCAGGGAAGAUAAUGACGGUACCUGGUAAAGAAACCCCGGCUAACUCCGUGCCAGCAGCCGCGGUAAUACGGAGGGGGUUAGCGUUGUUCGGAAUUACUGGGCGUAAAGCGCACGUAGGCGGAUUAGUAAGUUAGGGGUGAAAUCCCAGGGCUCAACCCUGGAACUGCCUCUAAAACUGCUAGUCUUGAGUUCGAGAGAGGUGAGUGGAAUUCCCAGUGUAGCGGUGAAAUGCGUAGAUAUUGGGAGGAACACCAGUGGCGAAGGCGGCUACCUGGACCGGUACUGACGCUGAGGCGCGAAAGCUAGGGGAGCAAACAGGAUUAGAUACCCUGGUAGUCCUAGCUGUAAACGAUGAGAACUUGGUGCAGCGGGUAUUGACCCCUGCUGUGCCGUAGCUAACGCGUUAAGUUCU